UACGUAGGGGGCAAGCGUUAUCCGGAUUUACUGGGUGUAAAGGGAGCGUAGACGGCAUUGCAAGUCUGAAGUGAAAGCCCGGGGCUCAACCCCGGGACUGCUUUGGAAACUGCGAAGCUGGAGUGCAGGAGAGGCAAGUGGAAUUCCUAGUGUAGCGGUGAAAUGCGUAGAUAUUAGGAGGAACACCAGUGGCGAAGGCGGCUUGCUGGACUGUAACUGACGUUGAGGCU
rnacentral:rRNA from 1 species